UACGGAGGGGACUAGCGUUGUUCGGAAUUACUGGGCGUAAAGCGCACGUAGGCGGACUACUAAGUCAGGGGUGAAAUCCCGGGGCUCAACCCCGGAACUGCCUUUGAUACUGGUAGUCUCGAGUCCGGAAGAGGUGAGUGGAAUUCCGAGUGUAGAGGUGAAAUUCGUAGAUAUUCGGAGGAACACCAGUGGCGAAGGCGGCUCACUGGUCCGGUACUGACGCUGAGGUGCGAAAGCGUGGGGAGCAAACAGG
rnacentral:rRNA from 1 species